rnacentral:rRNA from 1 species
AACGAACGCUGGCGGCAUGCCUAACACAUGCAAGUCGAACGAGACCUUCGGGUCUAGUGGCGCACGGGUGCGUAACGCGUGGGAACCUGCCCUUAGGUUCGGAAUAACUCCCCGAAAGGGGUGCUAAUACCGGAUAAUGUCUUCGGCCCAAAGAUUUAUCGCCUUUGGAUGGGCCCGCGUUGGAUUAGCUAGUUGGUAGGGUAAAAGCCUACCAAGGCGACGAUUCAUAGCUGGUCUGAGAGGAUGAUCAGCCACACUGGGACUGAGACACGGCCCAGAAUCCUACGGGAGGCAGCAGUGGGGAAUAUUGGAAAAUGGGCGAAAGGCUGAUCCAGCAAUGCCGCGUGAGUGAUGAAGGCCUUAGGGUAGUAAAGCUCUUUUACCCGGGAUGAUAAUGACAGUACCGGGAGAAUAAGCUCCGGCUAACUCCGUG